CCUACGGGGGGCAGCAGUGGGGGAUAUUGGACAAUGGGGGGGAACCCUGAUCCAGCGACGCCGCGUGAGUGAAGAAGUAUUUCGGUAUGUAAAGCUCUGUCAGCAGGGAAGAAAGCAAUGACGGUACCUGACCAAGAAGCCCCGGCUAACUAAGUGCCAGCAGCCGCGGUAAUACGGAGGGGGCAAGCGUUAUCCGGAAUUACUGGGUGUAAAGGGUGCGUAGACGGCUGUGCAAGUCUGGCGGGAAAGGCGGGGGGCCAAACCCCGGACUGCUCUGGAAACUGUAUGUCUGGAGUGCAGGAGAGGUAAGCGGAAUUCGUGGUGUAGCGGUGAAAUGCGUAGAUAUUAGGAGGAACACCAGUGGCGAAGGCGGCUUACUGGACUGUAACUGACGUUGAGGCUCGAAAGCGUGGGUAGCAAACAGGAUUAGAUACCCUAGUAGUC
rnacentral:rRNA from 1 species